AGGGUGGAGAAUGCCUGGACCUUCUUAUCUUGUUACCCCGAUUGCCUUCACCACGGCAGGGGAAAAAGUGACAAAACUGCCUUUGGGAUGCCAAAGAGCUGGCCCUGGAGAUGACAAAAAAAAAAAAAAAAACUGAGGCCAGGCACAGUGGCUCAUGCCUGUAAUCCCAGCACAGCACUUUGGGAGUCUGAGGCAGGCAGAUCACCUGAGGUCAGGAGUUCAGGACCAGCCUGACCAACAUGGAGAAACCCCAUCUCUACUAAAAAUACAAAAUUAGCCAGCCUUGGUGGCGAAUGCCUGUAGUCCCAACUAUUCAGGAGGCUGAGGCAGGAGAAUCGCUUGAACCCAGGAGGUAGAGGCUGUGGUGAGCCGAGAUUGCGCCAUUGCACUCCAGCCUGGGCAACAACGAGAGUGAAACUCCAUCUCCAAAAAAACAAAGAAAAAAAAACUGUAAGUCCAUUACAACCAGCAGGGACAAGAUGGGUGCCCUCCGUGGCCCAGAAAUCUGGAGGAGUCCUGGGGAGAUGGGGGUGGGGACGUUGCUCUCGCUGGAGGGAAGAAAUGACAGCCUUGGUGCCCAGAAGUGAAACCUGCUGGCAGGUGAUGGCAGCUCCCAGAGGAGCCAAGGGGCCCUGGGACAGUGGGAGGGGGAUGGCUGGGGUGUCUGUGGGAGGGCAGCCUCACCCUUGGCUGAGUACACUCAGCACAGGCAGUGGACAGAGAAGAGAUCCCAUUGUGGAAUAACACCUGGAGGGAGCGGGGAGUCGUGGGCUCUGAGCCGUCAGCCACAGUUGAGGUGUCUGACCACGUGCUGCUGAUGGACAAGCAGGGAUCCCACACAAAGCUGGGAUCACCAACCCCAAGGACGCACCACAAACUGAAGAACUAACACGAGCGAACUAACUAGCGCAGAGCCGGCGCUGUACAGCGAGAUUGGGUGCCCCUCCUCCUUGGCCUGGGCUAGACUGAAUCUGCCAGGUUCCCUGGCAAGGGGUGUGGCCAGGUGGCCACCUGCAGUGGAGGUGACAGCAGUGACGUGUGCCUCUCCUGUGACUGGCCCAAAAGGCCCUCCAUUAACUUUUCCUUUCCCAGGGCCUGGCAACAACCAGGGUGACACAGGAAGCUUCGCUUGAGGACAGCAGAGUCACCCUCAGCCUAGGGCUCUGAGUGACUGCAAGAAUCAAGGCCAUUGUCAAACGGAAACCCUGCCAUGGUUGUCAAGAGAGAAAUCCACUUCUCUUUUGUUUAGGCAUUUACACCAGCGUCUAUGCCUCAGAGCAGUUUAACUUACAAUUCAAUUAGCAAUUUAAUCAUUGGUUUUUCACUCCCCCGUAGCAGAAUUUUACAUCCGUCUGCUUGCUGUGGUCUCUAGGUGGUGGGUGGGCUCUCCUCCCUUGACUUUGGGCUUGGCGAGUGACGUGCUCUGGCUAGUGGGAAGGUAGCAGAUUUGAAAUGGGCAAAGGUUUGGAAUGUGCCAGCAAGGGCAGCCUGGUCUUCCUGCUUGCCAGGGACCCACUACAAGCAGGCUGUGCCCCAGAGAAGAAUGGAGAACGCAGAUAACUGACGGGGGCUCCAAGAAGCGAGAAACCUGGGCGGACCUCAGCCCAGCCCACAUCCCAGAACCCGGAGGCCAGGGGCUUGGCCAGGUGGAGGUCGGCCCUAGCCCUGUGAGCGUGAGACUCGGCCACCAAGCUUUAAGGUCGUCGUUAUGCAGCACUGUUGUGGCAAAAGCCGACUGAUACACCUGCCCUGGCACUUGGGGAUACAGGGAAACGGAUGUGGUGAAUUGAAGAUGAUGCCACACGUCCCCUGGUGUGCCGAGGUAAAGGCUUGGGAACGCUGGGAAGAGGGAGGAAAGAGCCAGAAGGUUAGCGCGAGGCACUC
rnacentral:lncRNA from 10 species